AUCUGAUCUCAAAUCAGGUAGGACUACCCGCUGAACUUAAGCAUAUCAAUAAGCGGAGGAAAAGAAACUAACAAGGAUUCCCCUAGUAACGGCGAGUGAAGCGGGAAGAGCUCAAAUUUAAAAUCUGGCGGUGUAUUCCGUCCGAGUUGUAGUCUAGAGAAGCAUCAUCCGCGCUGGACCAUGUACAAGUCUCUUGGAAUAGAGCGUCAUAGAGGGUGAGAAUCCCGUCCUUGACAUGGACUCCCAGUGCUUUGUGUUGUGCUCUCAACGAGUCGAGUUGUUUGGGAAUGCAGCUCAAAAUGGGUGGUAAAUUCCAUCUAAAGCUAAAUAUUGGCGAGAGACCGAUAGCGAACAAGUACCGUGAGGGAAAGAUGAAAAGCACUUUGGAGAGAGAGUUAAACAGUACGUGAAAUUGUUGAAAUGGAAACGCUUGAAGUCAGUCGCGUUCUCUGGGAUUCAGCCUUGCUUCUGCUUGGUGCAUUUCCUAGUCUACGGGCCAGCAUGAAUUUUGACCGUUGGAAAAAGGCAGGGGGAAUGUGGCACCUCCGGGUGUGUGAGAGCCCCUUGUCACACACUGCGGUUGGGAUUGAGGAUUCAGUGCACGC
rnacentral:rRNA from 1 species